UGGCUCUCGCAUCGAUGAAGAACGCAGCGAAAUGCGAUAAGUAAUGUGAAUUGCAGAAUUCAGUGAAUCAUCGAAUCUUUGAACGCACCUUGCGCCCUUUGGUAUUCCGAAGGGCAUGCCUGUUCGAGUAUCAUCAAAUUCUCAAACCGUGAACUUGCGUUUUCGGUCUUGGAUCUUGGAGUGUGCAGAUGAAUCUACAUCUGCUCCUCUUCAAAUGCAUGAGUGGAAUUUUUGAGUUUCAGUCAACCUGGCGUGAUAAUUAUCUGCGUCAAGAGAAAUCUAAACUCCAUCUGCUUACAAUCGUCUUCGGACAAAAAUUAUCUCAAUUUGAUCUCGAAUCAGGUAGGAUUACCCGCUGA
rnacentral:misc_RNA from 1 species